rnacentral:rRNA from 1 species
GACGGAGGAUGCAAGUGUUAUCCGGAAUCACUGGGCGUAAAGCGUCUGUAGGUGGUUUAAAAAGUCUAUUGUUAAAAAUUGAGCUUAACUUCAAAGAUGCAAUGGAAACUUUUAAACUUGAGUAUGGUAGGGGUAGAGGGAAUUUCCAGUGGAGCGGUGAAAUGCGUAGAUAUUGGAAGGACCACCAAUGGCGAAGGCACUCUACUGGGCCAUUACUGACACUGAGAGACGAAAGCUAGGGGAGCAAAAUGGG